UACGUAGGGGGCAAGCGUUGUCCGGAAUCAUUGGGCGUAAAGAGCUCGUAGGCGGCUCAGUAAGUCGGGUGUGAAACCUCCAGGCUCAACCUGGAGACGCCACCCGAUACUGCUGUGGCUAGAGUCCGGAAGAGGAGAGUGGAAUUCCUGGUGUAGCGGUGAAAUGCGCAGAUAUCAGGAAGAACACCAAUGGCGAAGGCGGUUCUCUGGGACGGUACUGACGCUGAGACGCGAAAGCGUGGGGAGCGAACAGG
rnacentral:rRNA from 1 species